rnacentral:rRNA from 1 species
AGUGAACGCUGGCGGUAGGCCUAACACAUGCAAGUCGAACGGCAGCACAGGAGAGCUUGCUCUCUGGGUGGCGAGUGGCGGACGGGUGAGGAAUACAUCGGAAUCUACUCUGUCGUGGGGGAUAACGUAGGGAAACUUACGCUAAUACCGCAUACGACCUACGGGUGAAAGCAGGGGACCUUCGGGCCUUGCGCGAUUGAAUGAGCCGGUGUCGGAUUAGCUAGUUGGCGGGGGAAAGGCCCACCAAGGCGACGAUCCGUAGCUGGUCUGAGAGGAUGAUCGGCCACACUGGGACUGAGACACGGUCCAGACUCCGACGGGAGGCAGCAGUGGGGAAUAUUGGACAAUGGGCGCAAGCCUGAUCCAGCCAUACCGCGUGGGUGAAGAAGGCCUUCGGGUUGUAAAGCCCUUUUGUUGGGAAAGAAAUCCAGCUGGCUAAUACCCGGUUGGGAUGACGGUACCCAAAGAAUAAGCACCGGCUAACUUCGUGCCAGCCGCCGCGGUAA